CUAGAGUUCAGAUGUGUGCUCUUGCGUAAUCCUGCAUUGUCUGUUACCUUGAUUAUGGCAAUAGUUUUUUGCCUUCUUAACUAGUCUCUUUAUCUCUAAGUUCUCACCUUUAAAACCCACCAUCCCCGCUGCUACCAUUUCCAAAAUGCAACCACGAACCUGUUGCUUCUAUACUCUGGUGCCUGCCCAGAGCUUCUAGAACAAACAGUAAACUUCGUGCUUUGUCCAUGGCCACGUCUUCCUCCGGCCCCGCCCAGAGUCAACAUUUCUUCAUUGGCGGCCACUGUGACUUUAACACCUCUAUUCUCCAAGCUCAUUGUGUGUGCCUUUGCCACUUCCUGCAGCGGAUAUGGUCUCCUAUGCUUCGGUGCCUUCCCACGUUCGUUCUUCUGUCCUUGGAAGGCUCUGGGUUUUAUAAGCUUCGGUCAGACAGAAAAGAACUGCCGAUAUAUUACCAAGUUGGCAGGCCCCCCCUGCCAUCUAAAGUCAUGCUUGGUUGCAAUGUCUUCUGGGACCUUGGGCAGCACCAGAGACCUGUGGAUGUUCCCUGGCUUUUCCUACCACCCUGCCCCCCACCCCAGGCACAUGUCCAAGCUUGACACCAGCUACUGAUGGCCCUUGUCACUGAACUAUUAUCAGGGACCUCAUCUGAAUCCAAGAGCUGUCCCAGCUCCUCCGAGGUCUAGACUCACUCACUGGGCUGUCCACAGCUCAAGAGGGAAUGGAUUACCUUGGUCAGGGCAGGUGUGUGAGGAACCACUGAUUUAAAGAGCAUUCAUAACUUACCCCAACCC